CAAUGAGCAGCACUGACCAUUCUCAACUAUCUUCAUAUCAGAGACAGCCUCUGGAUUCAAGUGGACCAACUGCUGCAGUUGCCCUCAGGUCCUGCUUGAGGGCUUCUCAGAUGCAUGUUUUUGGCCACUGUGAGAACAAGAUGCCUGAAGAGUAAUGCAGGUUACUUCAUGGAAAUAAUCCUGGAGAGAAAGAAUAAUAUGCAAGUGAGAAGCCUUACUUCUGGGGACUCAGCAUCCCUCCACCACAGCGGAUGCCAGAAAAGAUCUUCAAGGUGAACAGCAUAGUAUUGCAGGAUCUACUGACACACCCAAUUGCCCCAGAAAAAUGACACCUGAACUCACUUUAACCUCUGAUUAGGGUCCCACUGCAAACACCUGCAAUGACUCUCAGGGAGCCAUUUUACAAAAGGAGCUGAUUUGUCUCUCUGGACAAACCAGGAGCUGCAAACAAGUAUUGUUAUUGGCUUACAGUUUUGAUUUCUCUGGAGGAGACAAGCUAUGAACCUGAGUUCAGACAACAGACUAAGCCAAACCAUGUCUUCAUGCACAGCAGGAGAAAUAGUGGAGCAAAGCAGUUGCAAUCUGCUCUCUAGGAGCCUAUGAAUUGUGCUAAGCCAUAGUUUGGCUUCCUGUUACAUGUGAACGGAUCCAUGUGAAUAUGUGUAGAAACUACCCACUGUACAAACGUAAAAUUUAUAUUCAUUGCCCUACCCACGCUUGCCUCAGGCCCCACCCACCACUGGCACAUGGUCCCUGAAUAGUUACCCAGAUGUAUCCCUCAGACUGAGACAGGUUCCUGAUCCUUGUGCAAGAUGAUAAAAGGCAAAGGAUCAAGGCAGCCUUGUCCAUAUCCUUGGGCCUCAAUAAAUGAAUUUUUUAUU